UGCAGUCAGACUCAGUUGAAAAUUAGUGGCAAACGGGUUCACCUGUGCGGGGGGCGUCGCCUUCGGCCCUUCCUUCACACUGGCCGGUUAGGUGAACCGCUAGAAGUCCUUUAAUGUUUUUGCUCUGAACGUUAGUGGUUUUAUAAAAUAAGUAAAGUAUGUUUGAAGAGAGCUGGCCGGGACCUGCUUACUUUCCCCAUUUUUAAAAUUAAGCCAGAAACAAGAAGAAUUCGGUUCACGUCAGCAGCGCGAAACAGGUCAUAUUUUCUUCUGAUAGUAGGAGUGGGAUUCGAGCCCCCGGCCCGUUCUGUCUCGGCAGGCUGCGCUGACGGUGUUUAUCCUGCAGAGCUACUCUUUGAACUCUUUUCACCGCGGAGCUUCAGCACCUUUAACAACUCUUCUCUCCGGCCACACUUUGAAUAAAAGAAAGUCUUUUUGUUGGUCAUUCUUCGAGAUCCUCCUCCUUUGGUCGGUCUCGAUCGCGGGGCCGCCUCGUGGUCGUUUGCUCGUUUCUCUGUGCCACCACGGGGGUCCGCUUUUGAAGAUGGGGAUAGAAAUCAUUUAUACCGUUAAUUCUUCGGUGGCCACAAUAAAUGAGAGGCUGCUUCCUAUUUCAGUUGCUUCUAUGAUUUUUGGGUGGCAGACGCGAACCCACACACUUCCACGCUGCAUGAGGAGGUCCACCCGCUUGAGCUACCGAGUCUGGAUGUUUAAUAAGCCGACCAUACACAUUUAAUGUUAGCGAAAGGUCUGCGGAACCCUUAAAUCAAUUGAUUGGUAGGAGAGGACGGCGCUCGAACCCCACACGUCUGCUUUUUAUCGGCUCAUCUAUCUCAGUGAGCUAAUCCUCCGGCUGGAAGUUACCAGAAAUCUCUUAUAUCAUUGACAGAAUGGAGGGCGCUGCAAAUAAAUGGACAGUUUGCAUGUUAUGUGAGGUGAAUCCUGGGCUUGAGCUCAGGCCUCCUUCGGCUCGGGUCUGCCCCAUUCACCGGAGUGGCCGGUCUGUUUCAACCGCGUGGCCGGCUC